UACGUAGGGAGCAAGCGUUAUCCGGAAUUACUGGGUGUAAAGGGAGUGUAGGCGGGACUGUAAGUCAGAUGUGAAAUAUGCCGGCUCAACUGGCAGACUGCAUUUGAAACUGCGGUUCUUGAGUGAAGUAGAGGUAAGCGGAAUUCCUAGUGUAGCGGUGAAAUGCGUAGAUAUUAGGAGGAACAUCAGUGGCGAAGGCGGCUUACUGGGCUUUAACUGACGCUGAGGCUCGAAAGCGUGGGGAG
rnacentral:rRNA from 1 species